GUCAAUGAUGAAAACUAAUAGGAAGUGCCGUCUGAUGCGAUAACUGACGAUGUUUAAUAUUCACCGUUC
rnacentral:snoRNA from 13 species